GGUAGAGCAUUUGACUGCAGAUCAAGAGGUCCCUGGUUCAACUCCAGGUGCCCCCU
rnacentral:tRNA from 1 species